rnacentral:rRNA from 1 species
UACGUUGGUGGCAAGCGUUGUCCGGAAUUAUUGGGCGUAAAGCGCGCGCAGGCGGUCCUUUAAGUCUGAUGUGAAAGCCCACGGCUCAACCGUGGAGGGUCAUUGGAAACUGGAGGACUUGAGUACAGAAGAGGAAAGCGGAAUUCCACGUGUAGCGGUGAAAUGCGUAGAGAUGUGGAGGAACACCAGUGGCGAAGGCGGCUUUCUGGUCUGUAACUGACGCUGAGGCGCGAAAGCGUGGGGAGCAAACAGG